UCCUUCUACAGCUCUGAUAAAGCGUUAUGGACAAAGAGAACCAGAAUCAAGGCAAUGAUGUAGCAGACACAGAUAAAUGGACCUCUAACUGCAUUGAAACAGAAGAAUGGAUGACUUUCCGAAGCUGACUGAAGGAAAAGGGCUUUCCAGACCUCCUCCAACUUCCCGCACUGGACAAGC